GAGCCCCAGCACCAGGACACGUCGUGGCCCGGGACUCCAGAGCCCGCACUCCUCCCUUACCUCCCCACCCCCAGCGCUCCGUCGAGGCAGAGGUUCGGGUUCUUAAAGAGACAGACGCCGCCAGGAUCAAGCAACAAAUGCCUUAGGAAGUGACCAAUUUGAUAAUGUAUCCUUGCCAUGGCUGUCCUUCCUUCCCUGCUUUAAACCCCCAUGCCUCACUCUUGGCUCUUGGACUCACACUUGCCAAUAAAGUCCUCGUAUGAGGAACUUACAUUAAGGCGUGCUGGUACCAAGAAUGGCCCCAGGAAUCAGCCCUCAGGUUGGAAUUUCCGAACUGGCCUGGUCAGUGGUGAGAUGGCCAAAACCCCAUUGCUGGGCUUAAAGGAAAAUACUACCAACAUUCAUGUCCAAAUGAUCGUGUUCAUCAUUUGCAGUUACUGGCGGGCUGCAGGAAAGUGUUCAGCAAAAAUCAAUGAAUCCUGUGAGAAUCAACUGGCUAUAUGGAAUUUGCACUCAUGGCAUUUUCCUAGAUCCACUUCUCUUCUUGCUAAAGAACGUCCUACAAU